UUCUCCCCUCUUCCCUUGCAGUGGGCGUCCCAAUACUUUUGAAACACCGAUUAAGCUCUCAGAUGGCGCUGCAGAUUGAGUGGACCCCAUGCAGAGCUCUUGGGCCCCCGGGGGGAAAUAUACAAUGAUGACACGCAGCAUCAGGACCACAAUCUUCCUCGGGGAUAUUUUACCAAGAGGGGAGAGGGACUUUUUUUCCCCUCUGUGCGACGUGUAAGAGAAAAUGUCUGAAAUGGAUCAAAAGGAACCGCCUGACCCCAAUGAAUGCAUCAUUUACUGAGAGCACCACUUUCUGACCGUUGGACACUACGGACAAAAACCUGAGUUUUUAUGUCAAAUCAGUUACCAGGUGGCCACGCGUAAUCUUUGGAGAGGUACCAGUCUGUUUUAAGUCGUGGCAGACCCUUCUCUAUGACAUGGAUGUAGACCUCUGGACUGGACUCUCACAUUGGUAUGACUAAUUCAGUAACUGUACCCACUUGGCAUCCAAGUAGCCAUGGAUGAAGUGCUGGCUGUCCAGAGUCGAGACCCGG